rnacentral:rRNA from 1 species
GAUUAUUAAAGAAUUUCGGUUAUCGAUGGGGAUGCGUUCCAUUAGGCAGUUGGUGGGGUAACGGCCCACCAAACCUUCGAUGGAUAGGGGUUCUGAGAGGAAGGUCCCCCACAUUGGAACUGAGACACGGUCCAAACUCCUACGGGAGGCAGCAGUGAGGAAUAUUGGUCAAUGGACGAGAGUCUGAACCAGCCAAGUAGCGUGAAGGAUGACUGCCCUAUGGGUUGUAAACUUCUUUUAUAUGGGAAUAAAGUGGUCCACGUGUGGAUUUUUGUAUGUACCAUAUGAAUAAGGAUCGGCUAACUCCGUGCCAGCAGCCGCGGUAAUACGGAGGAUCCGAGCGUUAUCCGGAUUUAUUGGGUUUAAAGGGAGCGUAGGUGGACAGUUAAGUCAGUUGUGAAAGUUUGCGGCUCAACCGUAAAAUUGCAGUUGAUACUGGCUGUCUUGAGUACAGUAGAGGUGGGCGGAAUUCGUGGUGUAGCGGUGAAAUGCUUAGAUAUCACGAAGAACUCCGAUUGCGAAGGCAGCUCACUGGACUGCAACUGACACUGAUGCUCGAAAGUGUGGGUAUCAAACAGGAUUAGAUACCCUGGUAGUCCACACAGUAAACGAUGAAUACUCGCUGUUUGCGAUAUACAGUAAGCGGCCAAGCGAAAGCAUUAAGUAUUCCACCUGGGGAGUACGCCGGCAACGGUGAAACUCAAAGGAAUUGACGGGGGCCCGCACAAGCGGAGGAACAUGUGGUUUAAUUCGAUGAUACGCGAGGAACCUUACCCGGGCUUAAAUUGCAUUUGAAUAUAUUGGAAACAGUAUAGUCGUAAGACAAAUGUGAAGGUGCUGCAUGGUUGUCGUCAGCUCGUGCCGUGAGGUGUCGGCUUAAGUGCCAUAACGAGCGCAACCCUUAUCUUUAGUUACUAACAGGUCAUGCUGAGGACUCUAGAGAGACUGCCGUCGUAAGAUGUGAGGAAGGUGGGGAUGACGUCAAAUCAGCACGGCCCUUACGUCCGGGGCUACACACGUGUUACAAUGGGGGGUACAGAAGGCCGCUACCUGGUGACAGGAUGCUAAUCCCAAAAGCCUCUCUCAGUUCGGAUCGAAGUCUGCAACCCGACUUCGUGAAGCUGGAUUCGCUAGUAAUCGCGCAUCAGCCAUGGCGCGGUGAAUACGUUCCCGGGCCUUGUACACACCGCCCGUC